ensembl:lncRNA
AUGAAGGCUGUGUCUGAACUAGCUGGCACUGUGGCUCCAGUGCAAAGAGUUUUGCAAAGCCUCAUUUUCCUAACUGAGAACGGUAAUGAAUGGCUGGCCCACAUCAGUGCAGUGCCUGCUGCCCUCCUCAGAACUGUGACUUCUGUGUCAGAGGAAGAACAGAGCUGGACCAAAACCCCUGAGUAUGUAAAUAGUCUGAAUUCCCCAUGUCUUCACUUAUUUCUUCAGAAUGGGAAUAAUGCUUACCAUCUCCUGCUACUUGUUCACUUCAAUAAUGACCAAUAAUCAAACAUUGCCAAGUUGCUUUAGAAUUUAGUGGAGCCCACACAGCAUCUUUUCCUUCAAACUGCAUUAUACAGAUUGGCUUGCUUCUUCAAGCAAAUUGGACAGCUGGAUCCUCCUCCCAUGGGGACAGCAGAAGCAAGUUAAAAAAGGAAAGACAUCUUCUAGGUAUUUCUUAAUGUGUGCUGGAAGCCAAGGAAGAAUGAUCCUUCCUUACAGGAGGGCUCUUUUGCAAAGCACCUUUGGAGAAGCACUUAAAAUAUUGCCUGUCCUGACUGCUUUGUGCAUUGCCCCACGCUCUCAUGGAACAGGGAACAGUUGUGGGCAGGCAAUGGGAUGAACAAAACAAUCUGAUCUAUGUGAUCCUUCUGCAUUUCCUUCAUCAUAUAUAUGGCCUGGGGGAACACUUAACUCAACAGUCAGGAGCAUGGCUUAAUCAAUCAUUAAGGGAUCUGAGAUGGGGCUAGGUUAAAUAUCAGUAAAAGACAGUUCAGAAUAAGGUUAUUUGUUCUCUUUUGUGGCCAUAUAGGUUGGGUUCAGAGUACCAUAGGUAGUUAGUCCCAUUGUAGCUCAGGCCCUCCAUCCUACAGUGUAAUCAUGGGAGGAACUGACCAACAACAUACCGUAUACCUAAUAGGGAUUCUCAGAGCUGCUGUCCUGUUGUGAAUCGUCCCAGCUGAUUCACAUUUAAAAAAUUCAAUUUCUCAAACGGAGCAGCAGUAGUUUGUUAAAAUGUUGGAAUGAAUUGCUGCACAACCAAAAUAACACUCCCCAAGAUCUCCUCACCAUUCAGCAGAGCCUCCAGUGUUUAUCAUAUGAAUUCAGCACAACCACAAACUAGUUUUUUUUCCUUUUGUCUUUUGCUCAGAUUAAAUGUGAUUUCCACAUGGGGCAAAGGGAGGGGAUACCUCCUUUGCGUGUAUUUUAGCAACCAAAUAAUUUAGUCUUUUGUUCACAAACAAGCUGCUUCUUCUCUUCUCCCUGUCCUUGUUUUUGGAGACUAUCCCACAUUUCUGUUCAUGCUAACCAGAGCUAUAUUACAUCUGGCACUGUCCCUGUGAUUGCUCAGGCAGCUGGAACAAGUUAGAUUGCAUUGUUUCCUAUGACUUCCCCUUGCAUAUCGGUUGCCAUUACUCCACCUCUGCUGGAGCGCUUUUCCAUCUAUGUUCUCUCCUUCUGUUCUCUGCAAACUGCCAGAAGUCUUCACUGGUUCUUCAUUUCCACUGUGAAGCAAAAAUAUCCCAAAACAGAUGCUAAGGAAAAUAUACUAUGACUUUUGGGCUAAAGCAAUACACAUUACAAUAAAUGCUACUGCACUGCUGCA